AUUGAACGCUGGCGGCAGGCCUAACACAUGCAAGUCGAACGGUAACAGGAAGCAGCUUGCUGCUUUGCUGACGAGUGGCGGACGGGUGAGUAAUGUCUGGGAAACUGCCUGAUGGAGGGGGAUAACUACUGGAAACGGUAGCUAAUACCGCAUAACGUCGCAAGACCAAAGAGGGGGACCUUAGGGCCUCUUGCCAUCGGAUGGGCCCAGAUGGGUUUAGCUAGUAGGUGGGGUAACGGCUCACCUAGGCGACGAUCCCUAGCUGGUCUGAGAGGAUGACCAGCCACACUGGAACUGAGACACGGUCCAGACUCCUACGGGAGGCAGCAGUGGGGAAUAUUGCACAAUGGGCGCAAGCCUGAUGCAGCCAUGCCGCGUGUAUGAAGAAGGCCUUCGGGUUGUAAAGUACUUUCAGCGGGGAGGAAGGGAGUAAAGUUAAUACCUUUGCUCAUUGACGUUACCCGCAGAAGAAGCACCGGCUAACUCCGUG
rnacentral:rRNA from 1 species